UACGAAGGGGGCGAGCGUUGUUCGGAAUUACUGGGCGUAAAGGGCGCGUAGGCGGCGACUCAAGUUAGAUGUGAAAGUCCUGGGCUUAACCUGGGGACUGCAUUUGAUACUGGGUUGCUUGAAUUCGGGAGAGGAUAGCGGAAUUCCCAGUGUAGAGGUGAAAUUCGUAGAUAUCUGGAGGAACACCGGUGGCGAAGGCGACAUCCUGGACCGGUAUUGACGCUGAGGCGCGAAAGCCAGGGGAGCAAACGGG
rnacentral:rRNA from 1 species